CUUCCAGCACCGAGAAGAGAGAUUGAAGAGAGCAAAGCCACCAAAACCUAAACCCUUAUCAAUUUUCAAUUCAUCAUAACUUUCGAUCCGGAAUUCUGAUUCACGAGCCGUUUGCAGCCACGCGUUCGUCUCAGAGUUCUCUUCAAUUCUAUCCUAACAAAGUGGUGCAAACUAAAAUUGGAUAAUUGUUGGGUUGCACUCCAAUCAUUAAUGGAUAUGGGGUGAAUUGAGUUAUAUAUAUGCAUUGGGUUUGAGUUGGGAGUACUUGGAGGCUUGUUGGUGAUCAAGCUUGGUUUGGGCUGUUUUAAUUGAGCUUGGAGGGGCUGUAAUUUUGAGUUGUAAGGCUGCCUUGGGUGAAUUAAGUGAUCGGCCAAGAUGCAGGUCGAGAGGCUCCUUGCUAGACGUCUGGAUCCUGGGAAGCGAAGUAGUCAUUGGGUGUAUUUUGGUUUCUGUUUGUAUACAUGUAUAUAUAUGUUUAGCUUACUCUCCAAGUAACUUAUGUACGCUGCUCCUCUUAGAGGUUGAGGGAGAGAAAGGAGUUACUUUGGUAUUUUGGUAUAUUUUGGGGAUACCCAUGUAUGUUCAUAUGUAUGUAUAUAUAUCCUCUGGCCAGCCUUAGCUUCGCAGGCUGAGUCAGGGGCUAGUUAUACUGUUUCCUUGUCUUUCCUUUACAUCUCGAUUUACCUUUAUCUUUUUCCUAUUAGGUUUCUCAGUACGCAAGUAAUCCUAUUCCUUGAGCGUUGCGCUUUUAAUUUUCACGAUUAUU